rnacentral:rRNA from 1 species
UACAGAGGGGGCAAGCGUUGUUCGGAAUUACUGGGCGUAAAGGGCGCGUAGGCGGCCUGCUAAGUCGAACGUGAAAUCCCUGGGCUCAACCCAGGAACUGCGUCCGAUACUGGUUGGCUUGAAUCCGGGAGAGGGAUGUGGAAUUCCAGGUGUAGCGGUGAAAUGCGUAGAUAUCUGGAGGAAUACCGGUGGCGAAGGCGGCAUCCUGGACCGACAUUGACGCUGAACGGCGAAAGCUAGGGGAGCAAACGGG